UACGUAGGUGGCAAGCGUUGUCCGGAAUUAUUGGGCGUAAAGCGCGCGCAGGCGGUCCUUUAAGUCUGAUGUGAAAGCCCACGGCUCAACCGUGGAGGGUCAUUGGAAACUGGGGGACUUGAGUGCAGAAGAGGAAAGCGGAAUUCCACGUGUAGCGGUGAAAUGCGUAGAGAUCCGGAGGAACACCAGCGGCGAAGGCGGCAUCCUGGACUGGUCCUGACGCUCAGGAGCGAAAGCGUGGGGAGCGAUCCGG
rnacentral:rRNA from 1 species